UGUGGAACUUGAUGGAAGCAUGUAACUGCUGCUGCAAGUAAAGUUUGUUGUUUCUAAUGAGAAGCCUGUCUGGAAAAUCAAGCCCAUAACAAACUAGUGAUGAGGAUGGGAUCGAGUCCAAUGUUGUCCCUCGCCCAGCGAUUAUCUGGAACACCGACUGAAUGACUUCCCGUUAAAAAUAAUUAAAGACACACACAUUCAAAACAGACCAGUUGGAUUGCAAGGAAACUUUGCAAUCGGACCAAGUUUUCCGAGAAGAGCUAAUCACUUGCUGGAUUUAUUGCGCUGUGACCAAGCUCCACAUUUCUGGCCCAGACUUCCGAUUCCGGCGCCUUCAGAAAUGCAGAGCAUACCACCAUCCACCGUUUCCUCAUAGGCCAGGAUUCUCAAGGAAGACAAGCUGUGCCCCAUUCUCACUUCACUUACUGCCACAAACUAUCAGGUUUGACCUCUCCCCAUAAGGUUUAAUGGACAGGAGCACGAGUGAAUGUGGUACCGAAUCAUGCAGUCCACAAUCAACAUUGGAAGUGGCUGGCCAAUAUUCAGGAGGGACCAGGCUGUCUAAUUCCCAAGGAUCUCACCCUGUUCAUCAAGAACUUGAAGCUUGACACAUUAGAGAUGGACAACAAAUGCAGGCCUUGCCAGCAACACCAACAUCCCACCAAAAUGUGAAAAAAUACUCCCCAGGCUCUGAACCUGUAUUCAACAGUUCUUUGACAAGACUUUCUACUGAAGAAGCACACCUUUCCCAUGACAAUCCAACUGCUUUAAUAGAUUUUAAUGCAUGCCUGUCCCUUGUAAAAAAAAACUGAUUGAAUUAUAUCUCCUCUGAACAUUGGUAUACUAAUAUAAUAAUUGAAUUAUAUCUCUAAAAUCGCUCAUUUUCCCAGAGGGCCUAUCUUUAGCACUUUGUCCUACCAAUUCUCUCCAUUUUCUCCAUGCCUUUUCUGUGAAUGCUGAUUCAGAUUGGAACAUAUGGGUGCUGAAAGCCCUUUGUUACCAUUCCCAUUUUUGGCCAUUUUUCAUGUGCAAAGCUGGACACUGAGCAUUCCUAAGCAAUUUAAGAACUCAGUGGCAAAUCAAUUAACCACUGAGCUGCUUUUUAAAUAAAAUCAAUAACUGGGAUGAUCCAGAACUUGCUCUUCAUUAUGUAAUCUGUCUGUAUCAUUAAGAAAAACACUAUCUGUGAAUUACAUUUAGAUGAAAUAAAUUAAAAUAACCAU